CCUACGGUAGGCAGCAGUGAGGACUAUUGGUCAAUGGGCGUAAGCCUGAACCAGCCAAGUCGCGUGAGGGAUGAAGGUUCUAUGGAUCGUAAACCUCUUUUAUAAGGGAAUAAAGUGUGGGACGUGUCCUAUUUUGUAUGUACCUUAUGACUAAGGCACAGCUAACUCCGUGCCAGCAGCCGCUGUAAUACGGAGGGUCCGAGCGUUAUCCGGAUGUCUUGGGUUUAAGGGGUGCGUAGGCGGCUUUUUAAGUCAGCGGUGAAAGUCUUUGGCUCAACCAUAGAAUUGCCGUUGAAACUGGGGGGCUUGAGUAUGUUUGAGGCAGGCGGAAUGCGUGGUGUAGCGAUGAAAUGCUUAGAUAUCACGCAGAACCCCGAUUGCGAAGGCAGCCUGCCAAGCCAUGACUGACGCUGAUGCACGAAAGCGUGGGGAUCAAACAGGAUUAGAUACCCUUGUAGUC
rnacentral:rRNA from 1 species